rnacentral:rRNA from 1 species
GACGAACGCUGGCGGCGUGCUUAACACAUGCAAGUCGAACGGAAAGGCCCUGCUUUUGUGGGGUGCUCGAGUGGCGAACGGGUGAGUAACACGUGAGUAACCUGCCCUUGACUUUGGGAUAACUUCAGGAAACUGGGGCUAAUACCGGAUAGGAGCUCCUGCUGCAUGGUGGGGGUUGGAAAGUUUCGGCGGUUGGGGAUGGACUCGCGGCUUAUCAGCUUGUUGGUGGGGUAGUGGCUUACCAAGGCUUUGACGGGUAGCCGGCCUGAGAGGGUGACCGGCCACAUUAGGACUGAGGUAGGGAGCAGACUGCAACGGGAGGCAGCAGUGGGGAAUCUUGCACAAUGAGCGGAAGCCUGAUGCAGCAACGCCGCGUGCGGGAUGACGUCCUUCGGGUUGUAAACCGCUUUCGCCUGUGACGAAGCGUGAGUGACGGUAAUGGGUAAAGAAGCACCGGCUAACUACGUG